ensembl:lincRNA
AUGGAAAAGCAAAACCGAACCAGACAUAGAAAUGACUGUGAUUUUUUUCCAGAUUCCACGAUGACCUCCCAGAAAUGGGGAAUUGUAUUUGUUUACCUAAUUGGCUAUGGAAGCUUCUCCAGUGCUGAACUUACAGAAGACACUGUGAAGCAGGUGGAAAGCUCGUUGGAUGCAGUGAAGGAAGUCAUUGAUGCAGUUAAAACAUGGGCUGAUUAUGCUCAAGAUGCACAGAAAGGUGUGGACCAAGCAGUCAAACUGCUACACGAACCCAGCUCACACAGAAAGGUUUUAAAUGAAGUGAGAAAUUCUGCAGGGAAAGCCCUUUCAAAGAUUAUGAAAUGCACUGAAGCAAUAACAAAAGUGCUGUCUGCAUUCAGCGUUGUUGGAGCUUUGCUCAGUGUCAUUUUUGCCUUCCUGCCUACGCAUGACCCAGUUAUGGAGCUUAUGAAAGAGCAAUUUACAGAGGUGAACAGGAAACUGGAUUCCAUUGCGCACAAUAUCGGUGAAUUGAAAAGGGAUGUGAAGUGGAAUGCAUAUGCUAGUGUUUAUGCUAGAGAUGAAAACACUAUUGAGAAUGCAUGGAAGGAAUUUGAAGCAUUUAGAAAAGCAGUGUUGACAGCUGAAACACAGCAGGGGAAGUUGAAGCUAGCAGAAAAAUUUACAGCCUUUUUUGAACAUUCUGCUACAGCCAACAGUAUUGAAAAUUUCUAUCGGUAUCUUACACACAAGCAUUUAUCUCUCACCGAAAACAUAUUGAAGUUGGUUAAUCAGAAAUUUAAAAGGGAUUUGAAGACUAUACUGAACUUUUCAUCUUAUUUUACAUCCCUGAUGAUUAAAGGCUUCCAACUCCAGCUCUAUUACAGUGGUUUGAAAGGAUAUGAUGGUGUCGCCAAGUCCAAGGAAGUUGUGGAAAAGUUCUCUGACGUGAUUCGUGCUGUGCAAGAAGCAGCUGAGGACUGUGUGUUUAAUUUUGCUGAGCAAGCACAAGCAGAUGUUCGAGAGAUUGCUUUGGAAAAGUGGACAAGCAACAAGGACAUGGCUUCUCAGAUUCAGAGCCACCUAAACAAAAAGUUUGACUGGUACGAAUGGAUUGUUAUUGUGCAUGACCAAACAGAGUUUCACACCCAAUACAGGCCAACUGUUGUACUCAGAAACGUUCAAAACAAAGGUGAUGUGAUCGUCUUCCACCGGGAGAAGGGAGCUAAAGUUAACGAGCAAAUGAAAACACAAAUUAAGAACAAGAUAGAACAAAAGGCAUGGAUGGACUUCCCAUGGAUCAAGAAUCAUUAUUUUGAAAUCAUGAAUACAUUUAACAAUGAAGAAAUGAAUAAUAUUGCAGGGUUUUAUGCAGUGUGUAAUGUCAAAGAUUACCAACAAACAGAAAACAGUGCAACGUUAAAACAUUCUAACAUUCUAACAAACAUUUUCAGUGUCAGUGUCCAUUUAGGGUUUGUUUUAAAGGGCAGAGAUGAAGUAGAAAACCCUCCUUGCAGGAGACCUGUAUGUAUUAACGGGAAAUGCAAGCCCAUUCCUGACACAGCAGGAGACAUUUGCAUGUGCACUAAUAAUUACUAUGGUCUGACUUGCAAAAACAAUAUCCUGGAUGACUUUAACUGGGAAACCAUUAAAAAGGAUACAGAUAACUUUGUCAUCUAUCCAGUUCCAGACAUGACUUCCAUAUUCUUUAGCAUCCAGGAUUUGAAAAAUUUCACAAACAGUUUGGCCCUCAUCAUGCAGUCUCACAUUGAGUGGGGGAUUGUUGUUUCCAAGUACAGCAAUAUUAUCUUGAAACUCCAGUUUAUGAAUAAUUGUUAUCAAGAAUUGGAAGAAGGAAAGAUUAAUGAAUAUGACUAUAAAGUAGAACUUAGUAAACAUUUACAGUCCACGUCAUACAAGUAUCUUUCAGAUACCUAUCAUAAAAUGAUGACAGGCACCAGUCUUUUGGAUACCAACAAUAUCUUAGAUUCUUAUCGAAACACCCUGAAAGAUGAACCUUGCAGUGAAGGUUAUAGCCAGAAAAUUGACUUCUUCUUGAAGUACAUGUUUGCUUUUCAGGAACAAUUCUAUUUGGCAUGGUUAAAAUACUUAAUACUCACAGAGCAGUCUCAUAAACUUCCACAAGAAAAGAACGAAUUCACCGACUGGGUCUCCACACAGUGGAGGCUGUACAACUCCAAUGGCUGUGGUCCUCUUGGAGCAAACUUGCUUUCCAACAGAUUUUGUACCUCAGCCCACCACAGCAGGAGCUCUCUGAAAGUGACAGUGACUUGUGAGAACUCUUACAAACCCUUUCCAGAAUCUGUCACGUGCAACAAGAAUUCUUGGAGCGUUCCGCCUGUUUGCUAUAUCCAUCCCACGAAUGGGAGAGUCACAUGUGAAACAAGCAGUAGUGGAACAACAACAACAAUAAACUGCACAGCAUCUUGUCAUUCUGGCUGGACAACGCCCACGGGCCUUACUGAACAAACCUUCUUAUGUGCCAAGCAGCCGUGCCCUCAGUUCACACCGUCUAAUUGUACAGGCUGCAGAAGUCACUCGACUUGCGAACCACAUGAAGUCUGUAAUUUGAGCAGGCACACCUGUGAGCCCGCCUGCAGUUCUGGAGGGUUCAGGUGCGGACGAAAUGCUGAAUGUAGCACAGCUAACCAUGUUCCAAAGUGUUCGUGUAAGGCUGGCUGGUUUGAACUCAUCGCAGGGAGGGGUUGUGUCUACAGACCUCUGAAGUGGGUGGCCACCAAUAACAUCCCAUCUGAUGCAGUUCACGGAGGCUGGGAUGGAAAAUCUAAAAUUAACUACUAUGUGUGUCGUGCACAAGCCGUUGAUAAAGCAUGGCAUGGCGGGAAGCUUUUUUAUUACGGACAGCAGAAAAAGUUUGUUUGUUCUUAUGAAUACGGAGGAAGGGAGAUAUUUGCUUCAGUGUAUCAGGCUCUUCUGUAUCCCUGUCCAGGAAAUAAAGGUGUAGAAUGGGCAGACGGAGUUCACAGAGAAUCCAUAAUAACUGGAAAAGCAGCCCAGUGGAACGUAAACUACUAUGUGUGCAGGGGGAUCCUUAAUGGGGUUUAUCAUCCUGGAAAACUUUUCAACACCCGACGUGGUUGGAGAUGUCAUAUUGGCUUCCUUCUUUAUGAUCGCUUACUUUCCUCGUUUCAAUCAUUGAAACACCUGCCAUGUGACUAAUGUAGAACUGGAAUGUGUUGAUAGAAUGCAACUUUUAUUAAGAUUCGAUGCGUUCAGCAUCCUGUAUAAGAAAUCAUUCCUAUUUUAUUCUAUUCUUCUAGCAUUUUAUAAUUUUUAGAUUUUUUUCCCUUGUUUUUAAAUAUGUAUUCUCUGUAGGGUUGUAUUCGUGUAGGGUUAACCACUGAAGCAAAUACAGAAAUAUCAGAUUACAGAAUUCAUCCAAAGAAUGGCAACUAGUACAUUUCUUGGGUCCAGUGGAAUUUUCCGCACUAACUGAUUGAAAAAAUAAAUCCUUUAAGUCUUGAAGAAAGAAAACAAGGGGUCCUGUUUUAAAUGUUUGGAAUCCUUAAUGUACUGUAUGAAGAAUGAAACUUGAAUUAGGAAACUUCAGUAAAAACUCAGUGGCAGGGCUUGUAAAAAAUAAGAUCAUCUUACACAAGGGGGGGUGAGAAUCUGAAAGAGGCAGCCCCACGCUCCUCUUGAAGCUACUGUCCUGGAAUCCUUGAUGAAAAGUAUGGAUAAAAGCUCUGGAUUCAUUAAUUUCUAACAAACGUGCUAGAUAUUCUGAUUUUCUUAACCAAACUUACCAAGUAAUACCAUGGGAAUGCUUUCACAUUGAAAACUGAACAUCAUUGUGGCAGCAAGUUUUGAAAAUGUUUACAAUUUAAAUUGGCAUUGCUAAUACCAUAUGUCCAGGCACUUUAGGAAAUGUUGUGGCCUCAUUUCAACAUUAUACACAUUUGUGAUGGAAUGAUACAUGAUUGUAGUAACAUAUCUUUUUCAGACUGAAUUGAAAUGUAUAUCCUAGAAUUUUGUUUGCCUUUUAAUCGCUUCCUCACAUUGUCUAGAAGAUGUAAUUAAUGUGUAAACAUUAACACGUCUUUUUCAUCUGUAGCCUCUUCUAGCUCAGUGUUUUCUGUUUUUUACAUAUAGUUUGUUUUUGCUAACUUCUUGUAAUAUUUUCCUCUUGAUUACAUAAAUAAAAUUUGCAUAUG